CUGGGUUGGGGUUGGAAAAGAAACAGAGACACGGAGAAGAACAGAGAGAGAGAGAGAGAGAGAGAGAGAGAGAGAACAAAAAAAGAAAUGAAGGAGGAGAAGGCCGAGUUUCGGGAUCGGUUGAUAACUUCCGAUUGCGCAGAGGAAUCACUUUUUGAUAUCGGGGAUCAGCUUGGAGAACUAGGUAGGAAUCCUUAGUUAGUUGAUAGAUAUUCUUGUAUAUAGAAUGGACUUGAAAAUGUUACGACUUGAAAAUUUUGUUUAGUUGUAUCACUGAUGUGAGAGCAAAAAAAAAAGAAAUUUCCGGAAAAGUGUGUAUACAUAUUAGAGUUAAUGGAUUGGUUAUAUACUUUGGAAAUUUAUUGGAAA